CCGCUGAACUUAAGCAUAUCAAUAAGCGGAGGAAAAGAAACCAACAGGGAUUGCCCUAGUAACGGCGAGUGAAGCGGCAACAGCUCAAAUUUGAAAUCUGGCCCUCGGGUCCGAGUUGUAAUUUGUAGAGGAUGCUUUUGGUGCGGUACCUUUCGAGUUCCUUGGAACAGGACGCCUUAGAGGGUGAGAGCCCCGUACGAUUGGACACCUAGCCUCUGUAAAGCUCCUUCGACGAGUCGAGUAGUUUGGGAAUGCUGCUCAAAAUGGGAGGUAAAUUUCUUCUAAAGCUAAAUAUUGGCCAGAGACCGAUAGCGCACAAGUAGAGUGAUCGAAAGAUGAAAAGCACUUUGAAAAGAGGGUUAAAUAGCACGUGAAAUUGUUGAAAGGGAAGGGUUUAUGACCAGACUUUGGCCUUGCGGAUCAUCCGGUGUUCUCACCGGUGCACUUCGCUUGGUUGAGGCCAGCAUCGAUUUCUGCAGGGGGACAAAGACUUUGGGAAUGUAGCUCCUCCGGGAGUGUUAUAGCCCUUUGUGUAAUACCCUUGCGGGGAUCGAGGACCGCGCUUCGGCUAGGAUGCUGGCAUAAUGGUCAUCAGCCACCCGUCUUGAAACACGGACCAAGGAGUCGAACAUUUAUGCGAGUGUUUGGGUGUUAAACCCUUGCGCGUAAUGAAAGUGAACGGAGGUGAGAACCUUAGGGUGCAUCAUCGACCGAUCCUGAUGUCUUCGGAUGGAUUUGAGUAAGAGCAUAACUGUUCGGACCCGAAAGAUGGUGAACUAUGCGUGGAUAGGGUGAAGCCAGAGGAAACUCUGGUGGAGGCUCGCAGCGGUUCUGACGUGCAAAUCGAUCGUCAAAUCUGCGCAUGGGGGCGAAAGACUAAUCGAACCAUCUAGUAGCU
rnacentral:rRNA from 1 species